rnacentral:pre_miRNA from 1 species
CCAACAGAAUUUAUUGGCAUUCUGUCCACCUCCUCCACAUAUUAAUUUAUAUUUAUAUAUACAUAUAUAUAUAUAUACUUUAAUUUGUGUGUGUUUAUUGUUAUAAUUAAUGGUUUGGAGGUGGGCAUACUGCCAAUUGAGUUCUCUUUG